rnacentral:rRNA from 1 species
CCUACGGGAGGCAGCAGUGAGGAAUAUUGGUCAAUGGACGAGAGUCUGAACCAGCCAAGUAGCGUGAAGGAUGACUGCCCUAUGGGUUGUAAACUUCUUUUAUAUGGGAAUAAAACGUUCCACGUGUGGGAUUUUGUAUGUACCAUAUGAAUAAGGAUCGGCUAACUCCGUGCCAGCAGCCGCGGUAAGACGGAGGAUCCGAGCGUUAUCCGGAUUUAUUGGGUUUAAAGGGAGCGUAGGUGGAUUGUUAAGUCAGUUGUGAAAGUUUGCGGCUCAACCGUAAAAUUGCAGUUGAAACUGGCAGUCUUGAGUACAGUAGAGGUGGGCGGAAUUCGUGGUGUAGCGGUGAAAUGCUUAGAUAUCACGAAGAACUCCGAUUGCGAAGGCAGUUCACUGGACUGCAACUGACACUGAGGCUCGAAAGUGUGGGUAUCAAACAGGAUUAGAUACCCCUGUAGUC